ACAUCAGUGGUACGAAUAAAGAAAUAAAAGAAACACAAAUAAAAAACGAACUGAUACGGUACUGUCAGGACUAGUCUACAACAUCAAUUACAUCCUUUCGUUUGUCACUUACAGUUUUUUGUUUCUCUAUUCUGCUCCUUCCUUCUUUUUCUUUUCAAUC
rnacentral:ribozyme from 1 species